rnacentral:misc_RNA from 1 species
UAAAAAUUAAUAUAGUAUUGGUUUUAGAGAGCCCAAUAUUUUUAUUGGUUAGUGGCGAGGCCCCGCUAUAAUUACUUGAUUGCCUGAAAUUAUUUUCUAGGACCAUAUUUUAAAAUUUUAUAAAAAUUUAAUGCAAAAUAUGGACUUGUGCCCUCUCAAAUGCGAAGGUUCAAUUGCUGCAGUACUAUUAAAUUUCUAAUGACAUUGGUCAAUAUUCUUUGUGUUCAUGUGUUGUGUGCUGCUGUUUGGUUACUAUGGUCAUAUUGAUUUUUGUGACUAUUGUUGCCAUUAGAGGUGUUUGGUUUGCUUUUGUUUCUAGUUCAGUGUCUGUCUAGGAAUUGGAUUCGAACUAAAAUUUCUGUAUGGCUCUGGUUUGAUUCUUCGAUGCGUCAAUUCCAAUUUGGUUUGAUUCUUAGCUCUGGUUCGGUACUGUUUCAGUUCAAUUCUUGAUUUUUAAAAUAAUUUUAUGCAAUUUUUUCCAUAAAAAUUCAUACUUGAAUUAGUAUUUAAACUUUAAA